GUUGUGGUCGGCUUCCACAACACCGCCUGUGAAAGCAUUCAAAGUGAAAUUAAUGAAAGCGCAUCUAAGCUGUGGAUGUCGGCACAAGGUUAGAGGCCACGAAAUCAAAAAGCAAAAAACAAGAAGGUAGUACGAGACUUUUUUUUGCCUCAAGCAUUGAUUUCCGAUUGUUUCAGGACUUACUAUAUAAUAUAAGUAAGUAAUGUAAAUAUGUACAUACGUACACCCAUACUCGUAUGGAUUAAAGUUCCACACUACGGAGUACAGGCUUUCGAUGCUUUCUCCUUAUAUAAAAAAAACAUACAUAGUCCUACAAAUCGGAGUUUUCGAUCACAGCUUUCCUAAACCUGAUGACGAAGUGAAAAUGAGUGUGGGUGGCGAGGUCGAGUGCGUGGUGGUCGUUCCGGAGGGUUGCCGUGUUGAGUGCUGUUGAUAGAACUGCUUUGUUAAACUGAUUGCCUUCAUUUUGUGACACAAUUUGGAAUUCUUCAUCUUCUACACACGAUUUAUUUCGGGGAAAGCGUAGCUCGAAA